AUAUGUGAGGCUUCUUAUCCUGGCUGUGAUAUACCUACAACAACAGACCAAUUUAACAGGUCUUGUUCUGUUCGACCAAUCGUUCAUAUAGAACCCUCAACCAGUCCAUAUAAAGUUAUAGAAGGGGGACAACUCGUGUUGACUUGUCAAGUAACCAAUUCAGAUUUAGCAGUGCUGUCUGGUAUUUAUAAAUGGAAUAAGAAUGGUGUACUACAGAUACCAGGUCAAAGUUCAUCUAUAUAUAGAAUGCAACCAGUAGAGAGAUCAGAUACAGGCAAUAAUUAUACCUGUACAGGUAGUAAUAGUGCUGGCCCAGGUAGAUCAUCUACACCUGUACAACUUGAUGUUUUAUUGGGUCCUAUAGUAACGGUAUCAGUUGAUUCUGUAACUAAAACAGAGAAUGACGACCUACAGUUGAUCUGUACCGUUGAAUCAAAUCCACCACCAACAACCUUUAAAUGGUAUAAACCAGGUGGUAGUAGUGUUGAUGUAUCUUCUAAUGGACGACUUGAUAUAACUAGAAUUACCAGGAAUCAGGGUGGUAUAUAUAGAUGAGAAGCCACUACUACUCUAGUACCAACUGAUGGUAGUCCUAUAACCAGAUCUGAUAAUAAAACUAUAAAUGUUACUG